rnacentral:tRNA from 1 species
GCCCGAUUAGCUCAGUCGGUAGGACUUUUAAUCUGAGGGUCAUGGGUUCAAGGCCCAUAUCAGGCG